GCUGGCGGCAGGCUUAACACAUGCAAGUCGAGCGAGAUCUUCGGAUCUAGCGGCGGACGGGUGAGUAACGCGUGGGAACGUGCCCUUUGCUACGGAAUAGUCCCGGGAAACUGGGUUUAAUACCGUAUGUGCCCUACGGGGGAAAGAUUUAUCGGCAAAGGAUCGGCCCGCGUUGGAUUAGGUAGUUGGUGGGGUAAUGGCCUACCAAGCCGACGAUCCAUAGCUGGUUUGAGAGGAUGAUCAGCCACACUGGGACUGAGACACGGCCCAGACUCCUACGGGAGGCAGCAGUGGGGAAUCUUAGACAAUGGGGGCAACCCUGAUCUAGCCAUGCCGCGUGAGUGAUGAAGGCCUUAGGGUUGUAAAGCUCUUUCAGCUGGGAAGAUAAUGACGGUACCAGCAGAAGAAGCCCCGGCUAACUCCGUGCCAGCAGCG
rnacentral:rRNA from 1 species